rnacentral:rRNA from 1 species
GACAGAGGAUGCAAGCGUUAUCCGGAAUGAUUGGGCGUAAAGCGUCUGUAGGUGGCUUUUUAAGUCCGCCGUCAAAUCCCAGGGCUCAACCCCGAGUCGGCCGUGCGAACUGCUGGGCUGGAGCACUGUAGAGGCAGGCGGAAUUCCGGGUGUAGCGGUGGAAUGCGUAGAGAUCCGGAAGAACACCGGUGGCGAAGGCGGCCUGCUGGGCAGUUGCUGACACUGGAGGCGCGACAGCGUGGGGAGCAAACAGG